GUCAAACGCUCCCCGGCUUGAAUGCCGGGGCUUGCCGCGAGGUGACGGCGUAUCGCCGUAGCCGACCGGUAGGCCGGUUUGACCAGACCCAGCCAUCAGCAGAGGAGAGGUGACCUUGAUGGCUACGUUGGACACAAGGCAGCAGACCCACCGGCGGGUGCUUCCUCAGCCCGCCGCUCUGGA
rnacentral:sRNA from 22 species